AAGGGCUCACCAAGGCGACGAUCCCUAGCUGGUCUGAGAGGAUGAUCAGCCACACUGGAACUGAGACACGGUCCAGACUCCUACGGGAGGCAGCAGUGGGGAAUAUUGCACAAUGGGCGCAAGCCUGAUGCAGCCAUGCCGCGUGUGUGAAGAAGGCCUUCGGGUUGUAAAGCACUUUCAGUCGUGAGGAAGGUAGUGUAGUUAAUAGCUGCAUUAUUUGACGUUAGCGACAGAAGAAGCACCGGCUAACUCCGUGCCAGCAGCCGCGGUAAUACGGAGGGUGCGAGCGUUAAUCGGAAUUACUGGGCGUAAAGCGCAUGCAGGUGGUUUGUUAAGUCAGAUGUGAAAGCCCGGGGCUCAACCUCGGAAUUGCAUUUG
rnacentral:rRNA from 1 species